rnacentral:pre_miRNA from 13 species
CCGAACCUCAUCCGGCCUCGCCGGCUAUGACACAUAAGCGUAGUUGGACCAUCCAAGAACAUAGGAUCCAACCAUGAUAUGUGUGAUAGUCGGCGAGAGCCUGGAUCAUUC